UCUGCCGCGGCCGGGAAGUUCGAACAGAAGUCUGGGGAAGAGCCGGCGAAGAGCAAAGAGAUAAUACAGUACUCCCAGCUAUAGCAAGCGGCAGUUAUGGAGCAUGCGCAGCAGCAGGGGCGGCCGCAGGUCGCCGUUCAAUAAUACUCAAGGGAUUUGUACAGCCCUGUAGGAGACACCUCCAGAGAAAGUAACAGCUCUCAAUUGAUUAGCUGAGAAUAAACAGAUGCUUUUACAGCUCGCCUUGGCGGGAAGAUCUGGCACAAAUGAAGUAUCUAUAAGGAGCAGCAGAGUCAAGGAAGACACCAGACAAAUGAGUUACACUGUUUUGGACUCCCCAACACAACCCAGCCACCGGCUGAAUGCCACCAAAUUACCUUCUAGUUAAAGGUUUAUGGAGCAAACGAAUCACCUAUUCAAUAUCUGCUUGAAUUUCUGACUCAAAAUACAUCAGAAGCCUCAGGGGCUGGAUCCUGACAUGAACCAGACACCUCCAGAAUUCUAUCCCAAGCAAAAGAUUAUUUCAAGGCCAGAACUCACUCCCUGCUGGAGACUGACUACAAGAUCCACUGAGAUUGAUGUGUAACCUGAUUGGGCCCACAGUGAUGCUAGCCCCUUCACCAGAUGGAACAAUAAUUCCAGACAAGCCAUCAGAGCAGGUCACACCACUUGACACCUUCUCGCCCCCUUGCCUCUCCUGCAUUCCAAACCCCUCUCUUUAAAAUCCCCAUGUUCCCUCCGUAAACUGGGCAGUGCCAAUUGUUGGAAAGAAUUCUGGCACUCUUUUCCUUCUUAGCAUGGAUAAAAAGAUUCACCCUCUUUUUAUCACACCUCACUCUUGUUAUUUUGGCUUCUUUCUACAAGUGGUGAGCAACCGGGCCCCCUUUGCUGGUUAUAGUAUGAACUAUUUUAUUUUUUUUAAUCUACAAUAAAAUAAAAUACAUUCAUUAGA
rnacentral:lncRNA from 1 species